CGUCUAUAUACGUAUAGCAUAUCAAUAAGCGGAGGAAAAGAAACUAACUAAGGAUUCCCUCAGUAACGGCGAGUGAAGCGGGAAGAGCUCAAAUUUGAAAUCUUCAAGGUUUCUACCUUGACGAAUUGUAGUUUAAAGAAGUGUUUUCUGUUGGAGUUUUGGUAAAAGUUCUUUGGAAUAGGACAUCAUAGAGGGUGAGAAUCCCGUAUUUGACCAUUAUCUCCAGCUUUGUGAUACACUUUCAAAGAGUCGGAUUGUUUGGGAAUGCAGUCCAAAAUGGGUGGUAAAUUUCAUCUAAAGCUAAAUAUUGGCGAGAGACCGAUAGCGAACAAGUACCGUGAGGGAAAGAUGAAAAGAACUUUGAAAAGAGAGUUAAACAGUACGUGAAAUUGUCAAAAGGGAAGCGUUUGACACCAGUGUUGUUUUCUCGAAAAUCAAUUAAGAAAGGACUUGAUUUUGUGUUGUAUUGACCUUAUCAGCUUUCUGCACUUUUUUCGAGUCUUUCUUAAUGCACUUUUCGGUUAACAAGUCAACAUCAAUUUCUUUUGUUGUAAAAGGAGUCAUUCGGAAGGUGGCUUUCCUUUCGGAGAAAGUGUUUAUAGCCCUUAUGCCUCUACAAUCGGAGAGAUUGAGGUCUGCAGCGUAGAUCCUUCGGGGUUAGAUACAUUAGAUGCUAAGUUAUAGCCUUUUUAUAGACAACUUGUUGACUAUAAUUAAGUCAUGUAGCUUACUCGCUUAUGCGCUAUUUUACCUACGCUUAGGAUGUUGACUGAUAUGUAGUCGUA
rnacentral:rRNA from 1 species